rnacentral:rRNA from 1 species
CCCUUAGAUGUUCUGGGCCGCACACGCGCUACACUGAAGGAGGCAGCGUGUACUCCUGGAUCGAAAGAUUUGGGUAACCCGCGAAUCUCCUUCGUGCUAGGGAUUGAGGUUUGCAAUUAUCCUUCAUGAACGAGGAAUUCCCAGUAAGUGCAAGUCAUAAGCUUGCGCUGACUACGUCCCUGCCCUUUGUACACACCGCCCGUCGCUACUACCGAUUGAAUGAUUUAGUGAGGACUUCGGACUGGGACCGAUGCGGCUUUCGUGCUGCGUCGGUAUUCUGGAAAGAUGUCCAAACUGUAUCAUUUAGAGGAAGUAAAAGUCGUAACA